rnacentral:rRNA from 1 species
GACGUACGCUGGCGGCGUGCUUAACUCAUGCAAGUCGAACGGAAAGGCCCUGCUUUUGUGGGGUGCUCGAGUGGCGAACGGGUGAGUAACACGUGAGUAACCUGCCCUUGACUUUGGGAUAACUUCAGGAAACUGGGGCUAAUACCGGAUAGGGGCUCCUGCUGCAUGGUGGGGGUUGGAAAGUUUCGGCGGUUGGGGAUGGACUCGCGGCUUAUCAGCUUGUUGGUGGGGUAGUGGCUUACCAAGGCUUUGACGGGUAGCCGGCCUGAGAGGGUGACCGGCCACAUUGGGACUGAGAUACGGCCCAGACUCCUACGGGAGGCAGCAGUGGGGAAUAUUGCACAAUGGGCGGAAGCCUGAUGCAGCAACGCCGCGUGCGGGAUGACGGCCUUCGGGUUGUAAACCGCUUUCGCCUGUGACGAAGCGUGAGUGACGGUAAUGGGUAAAGAAGCACCGGCUAACUACGUG